UACGGAGGGUGCGAGCGUUGUCCGGAAUCAUUGGGCGUAAAGGGCGCGUAGGUGGCCUGCUAAGCGUGCGGUGAAAGCUCGGGGCUCAACCCCGAGUCGGCCGUGCGAACUGGUGGGCUUGAGCACUGUAGAGGCAGGCGGAAUUCCGGGUGUAGCGGUGGAAUGCGUAGAGAUCCGGAAGAACACCGGUGGCGAAGGCAGUUCUCUGGGCCGUAACUGACGCUGAGGAGCGAAAGCGUGGGGAGCGAACAGG
rnacentral:rRNA from 1 species